UUUUGGAGCAGAGGAACAUUUCUGUCUCAGCUGGGAGGAGCGGAGGUGUCCGAUGUCUGACCCGUCAGCUGGCGACAGCUGAGGGAGCCAGAGCCGACAUUCAUCUGAACCGAUUAAAACCAGAGGCUGAACGGGUCGCAGGUACAGGAGGAGGAGGAGGAUGGGGAAACCCAGGGUGAGACAGAGGAAGGAGCUCAAAUGGUACAAAGGUCACAUGGAGGAAGAACCAGGACAAUGUGGCAGGAGAUCUGAACAGAGUGGUCCUGGUCCUGCUUUGUGUUGAAGCCUUACCUGGGUGAUGUCUUCAUGCAGGAGGUGAGUCAGCUUCUCUCUGCGGAGCUCCUCUUCACAUUGAGCUGCUUUGUUCAGCCAAGACUCACAGAGAGAGUCCAGAGAACCCAGGCGAACCUCCAGCUGCUCCACCUGGAAACCUGCCCAGUUCUGAAACACCAGGAACACAUGACUCAGCUCCUGUCUCUUGAAGGACCCCCAUCCAUUCCUCCUACCUCCAUCACCAAGAGGAAGAAAUCUGAAGCCAGCUUCAGGACUUCCAGACGUUCUCCCAGCAGACAGAGGAGAAGAGACCAUCCCUCACUCAGAG